UACAGAGGGUGCGAGCGUUGUCCGGAAUCACUGGGCGUAAAGGGCGCGUAGGCGGCGCGGUAAGCGUGCGGUGAAAGCCCGGGGCUCAACCCCGGGUCGGCCGUGCGGACUGCCGGGCUGGAGCACUGUAGAGGCAGGUGGAAUUCCCAGUGUAGAGGUGAAAUUCGUAGAUAUUGGGAAGAACACCGGUGGCGAAGGCGGCUAUCUGGACCGACAUUGACGCUGAGGCGCGAAAGCGUGGGGAGCAAACAGG
rnacentral:rRNA from 1 species